ACACGUAGGGGGCGAGCGUUGUCCGGAAUUACUGGGUGUAAGGGGUGCGUAGGCAGCCUUGCAAGUCAGAUGCGAAAGAUCACGGCUUAACUGUGGUAAGCGUUUGAAACUGUAAGGCUUGAGUGCAGGAGAGGAGAGUGGAAUUCCUAGUGUAGCGGUGAAAUGCGUAGAUAUUAGGAAGAAUAUCAGUGGCGAAGGCGGCUCUCUGGACUGCAACUGACGCUGAGGCACGAAAGCGUGGGGAGCAAACAGGAUUAGAGACCCUGGUAGUCCACGCUGUAAACGAUGAGUGCUAGGUGUCGGGGGUCAUACCUCGGUGCCGCAGUUAACGCAUUAAGCACUCCACCUGGGGAGUACGGCCGCAAGGCUGAA
rnacentral:rRNA from 1 species